rnacentral:rRNA from 1 species
CCUACGGGGGGCAGCAGUGAGGAAUAUUGGUCAAUGGGCGCGAGCCUGAACCAGCCAAGCAGCGUGAAGGAUGACUGCCCUACGGGUUGUAAACUUCUUUUAUAAAGGAAUAAAGUGAGGCACGUGUGCCUUUUUGUAUGUACUGUAUGAAUAAGCAUCGGCUCAAUCCGUGCCAGCAGCCGCGGUAAUACGGAGGAUCCGAGCGUUAUCCGGAUUUAUUGGGUUUAAAGGGAGCGUAGAUGGGUUGUUAAGUCAGUUGUGAAAGUUUGCGGCUCAACCGUAAAAUUGCAAUUGAUACUGGCAGCCUAGAGUACAGUAGAGGUAGGCGGAAUUCGUGGUGUAGCGGUGAAAUGCUUAGAUAUCACGAAGAACUCCGAUGGCGAAGGCAGCUUACUAAACUGCCACUGACAUUGAGGCUCGAAAGUGUGGGUAUCAAACAGGAUUAGAUACCCUUGUAGUC